rnacentral:rRNA from 1 species
UUAAGCGACUAAGCGUACACGGUGGAUGCCCUGGCAGUCAGAGGCGAUGAAGGACGUGCUAAUCUGCGAAAAGCGUCGGUAAGGUGAUAUGAACCGUUAUAGCCGGCGAUGUCCGAAUGGGGAAACCCAGUGCAAUUCGUUGCACUAUCGUUAACUGAAUACAUAGGUUAACGAGGCGAACCGGGGGAACUGAAACAUCUAAGUACCCCGAGGAAAAGAAAUCAACCGAGAUUCCCCCAGUAGCGGCGAGCGAACGGGGAGCAGCCCAGAGUCUGAAUCAGCUUGUGUGUUAGUGGAACGGUCUGGAAAGUCCGACGGUACAGGGUGAUAGUCCCGUACACCAAAAUGCACAGGCUGUGAACUCGAAGAGUAGGGCGGGACACGUGGUAUCCUGUCUGAAUAUGGGGGGACCAUCCUCCAAGGCUAAAUACUCCUGACUGACCGAUAGUGAACCAGUACCGUGAGGGAAAGGCGAAAAGAACCCCGGCGAGGGGAGUGAAAAAGAACCUGAAACCGUGUACGUACAAGCAGUGGGAGCACCUUCGGGUGUGACUGCGUACCUUUUGUAUAAUGGGUCAGCGACUUAUAUUCUGUAGCAAGGUUAACCGUAUAGGGGAGCCGCAGGGAAACCGAGUCUUAACUGGGCGUUAAGUUGCAGGGUAUAGACCCGAAACCCGGUGAUCUAGCCAUGGGCAGGUUGAAGGUUGGGUAACACUAACUGGAGGACCGAACCGACUAAUGUUGAAAAAUUAGCGGAUGACUUGUGGCUGGGGGUGAAAGGCCAAUCAAACCGGGAGAUAGCUGGUUCUCCCCGAAAGCUAUUUAGGUAGCGCCUCGUGAAUUCAUCUUCGGGGGUAGAGCACUGUUUCGGCUAGGGGGUCAUCCCGACUUACCAACCCGAUGCAAACUACGAAUACCGAAGAAUGUUAUCACGGGAGACACACGGCGGGUGCUAACGUCCGUCGUGAAGAGGGAAACAACCCAGACCGCCAGCUAAGGUCCCAAAGUCAUGGUUAAGUGGGAAACGAUGUGGGAAGGCACAGACAGCCAGGAUGUUGGCUUAGAAGCAGCCAUCAUUUAAAGAAAGCGUAAUAGCUCACUGGUCGAGUCGGCCUGCGCGGAAGAUGUAACGGGGCUAAACCAUGCACCGAAGCUGCGGCAGCGACACUAUGUGUUGUUGGGUAGGGGAGCGUUCUGUAAGCCUGCGAAGGUGUGCUGUGAGGCAUGCUGGAGGUAUCAGAAGUGCGAAUGCUGACAUAAGUAACGAUAAAGCGGGUGAAAAGCCCGCUCGCCGGAAGACCAAGGGUUCCUGUCCAACGUUAAUCGGGGCAGGGUGAGUCGACCCCUAAGGCGAGGCCGAAAGGCGUAGUCGAUGGGAAACAGGUUAAUAUUCCUGUACUUGGUGUUACUGCGAAGGGGGGACGGAGAAGGCUAUGUUAGCCGGGCGACGGUUGUCCCGGUUUAAGCAUGUAGGCUGGUUGUCCAGGCAAAUCCGGAUAAUCAAGGCUGAGGUGUGAUGACGAGGCACUACGGUGCUGAAGUAACAAAUGCCCUGCUUCCAGGAAAAGCCUCUAAGCAUCAGGUAACAUUAAAUCGUACCCCAAACCGACACAGGUGGUCAGGUAGAGAAUACCAAGGCGCUUGAGAGAACUCGGGUGAAGGAACUAGGCAAAAUGGUGCCGUAACUUCGGGAGAAGGCACGCUGGUGUGUAGGUGAAGUCCCUGCGGAUGGAGCUGAGACCAGUCGAAGAUACCAGCUGGCUGCAACUGUUUAUUAAAAACACAGCACUGUGCAAACACGAAAGUGGACGUAUACGGUGUGACGCCUGCCCGGUGCCGGAAGGUUAAUUGAUGGGGUUAUCCGUAAGGAGAAGCUCUUGAUCGAAGCCCCGGUAAACGGCGGCCGUAACUAUAACGGUCCUAAGGUAGCGAAAUUCCUUGUCGGGUAAGUUCCGACCUGCACGAAUGGCGUAAUGAUGGCCAGGCUGUCUCCACCCGAGACUCAGUGAAAUUGAACUCGCUGUGAAGAUGCAGUGUACCCGCGGCAAGACGGAAAGACCCCGUGAACCUUUACUAUAGCUUGACACUGAACAUUGAGCCUUGAUGUGUAGGAUAGGUGGGAGGCUUUGAAGCGUGGACGCCAGUCUGCGUGGAGCCAACCUUGAAAUACCACCCUUUAAUGUUUGAUGUUCUAACGUUGGCCCCUGACCGGGGUUGCGGACAGUGUCUGGUGGGUAGUUUGACUGGGGCGGUCUCCUCCCAAAGCGUAACGGAGGAGCACGAAGGUUAGCUAAUCCUGGUCGGACAUCAGGAGGUUAGUGCAAUGGCAUAAGCUAGCUUGACUGCGAGCGUGACGGCGCGAGCAGGUGCGAAAGCAGGUCAUAGUGAUCCGGUGGUUCUGAAUGGAAGGGCCAUCGCUCAACGGAUAAAAGGUACUCCGGGGAUAACAGGCUGAUACCGCCCAAGAGUUCAUAUCGACGGCGGUGUUUGGCACCUCGAUGUCGGCUCAUCACAUCCUGGGGCUGAAGUAGGUCCCAAGGGUAUGGCUGUUCGCCAUUUAAAGUGGUACGCGAGCUGGGUUUAGAACGUCGUGAGACAGUUCGGUCCCUAUCUGCCGUGGGCGCUGGAGAAUUGAGGGGGGCUGCUCCUAGUACGAGAGGACCGGAGUGGACGCAUCACUGGUGUUCGGGUUGUCAUGCCAAUGGCACUGCCCGGUAGCUAAAUGCGGAAGAGAUAAGUGCUGAAAGCAUCUAAGCACGAAACUUGCCCCGAGAUGAGUUCUCCCUGAGACUUUAAGUCUCCUGAAGGAACGUUAAAGACGAUGACGUUGAUAGGCCGGGUGUGUAAGCGCAGCGAUGCGUUGAGCUAACCGGUACUAAUGAACCGUGAGGCUUAACCUU